CAAGAAAUCGACCUGGUUUGUGAAUUAUGACCUGUACUUCACUUUUGCUUAUUCUCCUGGCUCUCUGCUCAGGGGCUAUUUCCCAGGCUGUUGUGACUCAGGAAUCUGCACUCACCACAUUACCUGGUGGAACAGUUACACUCACUUGUCACUCAAGUACUGGGGCUGUUACAACCAGUAACUAUGCCAACUGGGUCCAAGAAAAAGCAGAUCAUUUAUUCACUGGUAUCAUAGGUGACACCAGCAACAGGGCUCCAGGUGCUCCUGCCAGAUUCUCAGGCUCCCUGCUUGAAGGCAAGGCUGCCCUUACCAUCACAGGGGCACAAAUUGAGGAUGAGGCAAAGUAUUUCUGUUCUCUCUGGUACAGCAACCAUUAUAUUUUCGGCAGUGGAACCAAGCUCACUGUCCUAGGUCAGCCCAAGUCCACUCCCACACUCACAGUAUUUCCACCUUCAACUGAGGAGCUCCAGGAAAACAAAGCCACACUGGUGUGUCUGAUUUCUGAUUUCUACCCGAGUACUGUGGAAGUGGCCUGGAAGGCAAAUGGUGCACCUAUCUCCCAGGGUGUGGACACUGCAAAUCCCACCAAACAGGGCAACAAAUACAUGGCCAGCAGCUUCUUACGUUUGACAGCGGAACAGUGGAGAUCUCGCAACAGUUUUACCUGCCAAGUUACACAUGAAGGGAACACUGUGGAGAAGAGUCUGUCUCCUGCAGAAUGUGUCUAGGAGCCCAGGUUUCCCCUUAGCCUGGGAACCCUGCAGCUGUAGACCCAGAGCAGGGUCUCUUCUCUCUACUGGCUACCUUAUCCCUUCUCCCUUGCCCACUGAAUAUUAAAUAAAAUGUCAUUAGCUGAUCAAAA